rnacentral:rRNA from 1 species
ACGAACGCUGGCGGCGUGCUUAACCCAUGCAAGUCGAACGGAAAGGCCCUGCUUUUGUGGGGUGCUCGAGUGGCGAACGGGUGAGUAACACGUGAGUAAUCUGCCCUUGACUUUGGGAUAACUUCAGGAAACUGGGGCUAAUACCGGAUAGGAGCUCCUGCUGCAUGGUGGGGGUUGGAAAGUUUCGGCGGUUGGGGAUGGACUCGCGGCUUAUCGGCUUGUUGGUGGGGUAGUGGCUUACCAAGGCUUUGACGGGUAGCCGGCCUGGGAGGGUGACCGGCCACAUUGGGACUGAGAUACGGCCCAGACUCCUACGGGGGGCAGCAGUGGGGAAUAUUGCACAAUGGGCGGAAGCCUGAUGCGGCAACGCCGCGUGCGGGAUGACGGCCUUCGGGUUGUAAACCGCUUUCGCCUGUGACGAAGCGUGAGUGACGGUAAUGGGUAAAGAAGCACCGGCUAACUACGUG